rnacentral:rRNA from 1 species
UGGGGAAUAUUGCACAAUGGGCGCAAGCCUGAUGCAGCCAUGCCGCGUGUAUGAAGAAGGCCUUCGGGUUGUAAAGUACUUUCAGCGGGGAGGAAGGGAGUAAAGUUAAUACCUUUGCUCAUUGACGUUACCCGCAGAAGAAGCACCGGCUAACUCCGUGCCAGCAGCCGCGGUAAUACGGAGGGUGCAAGCGUUAAUCGGAAUUACUGGGCGUAAAGCGCACGCAGGCGGUUUGUUAAGUCAGAUGUGAAAUCCCCGGGCUCAACCUGGGAACUGCAUCUGAUACUGGCAAGCUUGAGUCUCGUAGAGGGGGGUAGAAUUCCAGGUGUAGCGGUGAAAUGCGUAGAGAUCUGGAGGAAUACCGGUGGCGAAGGCCGCCCCCUGGACGAAGACUGACGCUCAGGUGCGAAAGCGUGUGGAGCAAACAGG